rnacentral:rRNA from 1 species
AGAACGAACGCUGGCGGCAGGCCUCAAACAUGCAAGUCUAGGGGGUGUAGCAAUACAUCACCGGCGGACGGGUGCGUAACACGUGGGAAUGUACUUACUGGUACGGAACAACUCAGGGAAACUUGAGCUAAUACCGCAUAAGCCCGAAAGGGGAAAGAUUUAUCGCCAGUAAAUCAGCCCGCGUCCGAUUAGCUAGUUGGUGGGGUAAAGGCUCACCAAGGCUCCGAUCGGUAGCUGUUCUGAGAGGAAGAUCAGCCACACUGGGACUGAGACACGGCCCAGACUCCUACGGGAGGCAGCAGUUGGGAAUCUUGGACAAUGGGGGAAACCCUGAUCCAGCCAUGCCGCGUGAGUGAUGAAGGCCUUAGGGUUGUAAAACUCUUUCGACGGGGACGAUAAUGACGGUACCCGUAGAAGAAGCUCCGGCUAACUUCGUGCCGCAGCCGC